AUCCCAUGGUGUGAACACUUCCUUAACAAUUCUUUGAAUCUUUCCCAUGCAUCAAACAAAUACUUAUCAUCUCCUUGCCUAAAUGAAGUGAUUUCGUUCCUCAUCUU